UACGUAGGGGGCAGGCGUUAUCCGGAUUUACUGGGUGUAAAGGGAGCGUAGGCGGUUCAGCAAGUCAGAAGUGAAAGCCCGGGGCUCAACUCCGGGACUGCUUUUGAAACUGUUGAACUAGAUUGCAGGAGAGGUAAGUGGAAUUCCUAGUGUAGCGGUGAAAUGCGUAGAUAUUAGGAGGAACACCAGUGGCGAAGGCGGCUUUCUGGCUCAUAACUGACGCUGAGGCGCGAAAGCGUGGGGAGCAAACAGG
rnacentral:rRNA from 1 species